UCCACGCCCUAAACGAUGAACACUAGUCGUCGGGAUGCUAGUCAUCUCGGUGAUGCACUUAACAGAUUAAGUGUUCCGCCUGGGGAGUGCGGUCGCAAGAUUAAAACUCAAAGGAAUAGACGGGGACCCGCACAAGUGGUGGAGCAUGUGGUUUAAUUCGAUACAACGCGAAGAACCUUACCACCCCUUGACAUCCAGAGAAUCUGUUAGAGAUAAUUGAGAGCC
rnacentral:rRNA from 1 species